GACGAACGCUGGCGGCGUGCUUAACACAUGCAAGUCGAACGGAAAGGCCCUGCUUUUGUGGGGUGCUCGAGUGGCGAACGGGUGAGUAACACGUGAGUAACCUGCCCUUGACUUUGGGAUAACUUCAGGAAACUGGGGCUAAUACCGGCUAGGAGCUCCUGCUGCAUGGUGGGGGUGGGAUAGUUUCGGCGGUUGGGGAUGGACUCGCGGCUUAUCAGCUUGUUGGUGGGGUAGUGGCUUACCAAGGCUUUGACGGGUAGCCGGCCUGAGAGGGUGACCGGCCACAUUGGGACUGAGAUACGGCCCAGACUCCUACGGGAGGCAGCAGUGGGGAAUAUUGCACAAUGGGCGGAAGCCUGAUGCAGCAACGCCGCGUGCGGGAUGACGGCCUUCGGGUUGUAAACCGCUUUCGCCUGUGACGAAGCGUGAGUGACGGUAAUGGGUAAAGAAGCACCGGCUAACUACGUG
rnacentral:rRNA from 1 species